rnacentral:misc_RNA from 1 species
AACAAGGCGUACCUGCGGACCUGCGGAAGGAUCAUUACCGAGUUUACAACUCCCAAACCCCUGUGAACAUACCCAUACGUUGCCUCGGCGGAUCAGCCCGCGCCCUGUAAAAAGGGACGGCCCGCCCGAGGACCCUAAACUCUGUUUUUAGUGGAACUUCUGAGUAAAACAAACAAAUAAAUCAAAACUUUCAACAAUGGAUCU